rnacentral:sRNA from 1 species
CUUAAUGCUAGAUCUUGAGUAAUUAACUAGAUCUUGAAUACAGACAAUAGAUAUGCCUACCAUAAGUAUAUGUAGUUGGAUCUAUUAUUUGAUGAGUCUGGUUUAUAGGUGUGUAAUAAGAAUCGGCCUAUCUACUAAGGUGAACAAUUGAACUCGUUUAGAAUGCAUAUUUAGGUUAAAAAUCUCUCGGCUUCUCCGGUUAUUCUUAGCUAUAAGCAUAGGGAGUUUUGCGGAACACCACCGGUUAUUCCAUAAUUAGAGUAUGAGUU